ACACCCCUCCAAUCAUAGCCCCUUAGUAUUCUGAGCUACUUUUGUUCUCUUUCUACCUAUGCCUUUUUAAAAAAAAAUGUGUGUCCUGGCAUAGAAUAGCCCUUACAUAAGUAGUAAUCAUUAAUGUCAUUACUAAUAAGAACAUAAAUGACGUAGACACAUAGCCCACCCUAAACACAUGGAGUGCUUGGAGGUACCAAGUAUAGUUGGAGUUUCUGAAGUGUCAAUGCAGAUUUUGAAACCUCUGCCUCUUGGUGAUGGAAACAGUCUGAGCAAAGAUAAGGAGGUGAAAACCAGCGGUCUUGAGUGCAUAGGGAAUGGGCAAUGACUGAAGAGAGGGCCCUCCCUAAGAGACUGACAAGUGGGAGCACCUGGGUGGCUCAGCUGGUUAAGCCUCUGACUUCUGCUCAGGUCAUGAUCUCACAGUUUGUAGGUUCAAGCCCCACAUCGGGCUUGUUGCUGUCAGCACAGAGCCCACUUUAGAUCCUCUGUCCUCCCCCCUCUCUCUGCCCCUCCCCCGCUUAUGCUGGUGCCCUCUCUCUCUCUCUCUCUCUCCUCCUCCUCCUCUCUCUUUCUCAAAAAUAAACAUUAAAAAUUUUUUAAAAAGAAACCAACAAGUGAAUUUGGUUAGAUGGCAGGAAGCAGUGAGAGGGGGAGAGAGAGGCCAAUUUGAAGAGAGACAUGAUGAUGAAUUCAACUUCGACUUGUUGGUAAGUCAAUAACGGGAAAUGUCCCUUAGGAGCCUGAAGAUCCCAGGCUGUGAAUACAUAGGGCCCAGGGUCACAGGGAGUGCAUGGAUCCUGCAAAGCAGCAAGUGCAAAUGAAAGGGCAGGGUGCAGGAUGCAGGGGGUGUUCAAAUGAAAAAGAUGCGGUGAGAGAGGUGAUGAUGAUAGUGGUGGUAGUGUUUUUGGUGCUUCUGAGCUCAUCAAUUGCAGCAGAAAAGUCCAGAAUAUAAGGCCAGGGAGAAAAAAUAUGAGAUGGGGCAGGAAGAAGUCAUUAGAAACCUUAAAUGUGCUAUAAGGGCAACUUUGUUUAAGUUAAGUAUUGACAUUGUAUUUACUUAGUGAUUUAAAAAAAUUAACAUUUUUGCUGUUUUUCUGGGUUGGGAGACAUUGAUGGCUCUAUAAAUGUUGAGUUGAAGUUCCCACUUGGCGCUCUCCCUGGUGCUGGAUUUGCAUAGUGCAUUCCUUGUCUUGGGGGUGUUGUGGAAACCAUCCCUUUCUCUCUGUUCAUCUCCCUUUAGGUGCUAGCCAGGAAGUAAAUUUUGCCAAAUAAAGUCACCUUUACAUGACUUGUGCUUCUUCUCCACCCAGCAUCUCUUAGGCUGAUGUUUGCAGCGAAGUGUAGAAGAGAGACAGUAGUCCUUUCCAGGAGUAAAACUCUCUCCCUACAUUUUUCCAAACCAAAUCAUGUUAACAGUGGCUUUCGUGGCUUUCAGGGGGUGGUGAGUUUAUGGGGAAUCCUUAUUUUAUUUAUAUUUUCCAAGUACUACUUCCAUAGUUUGUCUUUUUUGAAGAAAGAAAAGUACAUUGAAGGUGAUUGGAGUUCUCACUCGUAGAAAGUCUUGUAAGAGAAUCCUCAGAAGCCAUGACAUUCUCAGUGACAUGGCAAUGCCUCUGAGUCUCUUUUAGGAGGAGAUUCUCGGCAUAAUAUUCAGGUUUUUAAAAUUUAUUUUUUAAAAAGAUACAUGAGUAUAAACUCUGUAAGGUGAGCUUUAGGAUUGUAAUUGAAAACAGUUUACUAUUCCCAAGUGACUGCUUCUCUUCCUUUCAAUGUAGGACAUCACUCAUGAGUAUCAACUCUUCAGUGCAUUACAGGAAAAUGUGGUUUUGGAAAAUUCCUGAGAAAAGAACUAUAAGGGCAUGUCCUAUGUCAUAUGUCUAAGAAAAACUUAGCUAGCAGGGAUAAAUGGAGAACAUAGUCAUAUGGUUAAGAUGUCUCAAAACCAAAGCUGGACACUAUCUAUGAGCUUCAUGCAUGAAGCACUAGGUACUACUCACUGCCCUCCACUGCUCUCUUCACACCUCCAUGCUCUGAGCCAGUUGACAACAUUCCCUUUGUCCCCACAUACUUUCUGCUGGACUGCUGUUGGGCUUUCCAUUCAUUCAUCCAACUUUUAUUGAACCCCUAGCAUGUGCCUUUUACUGCAUCUUUGCUCUGAGAUGACAGAAAUGGACAUGACAGAUCCUUUCCCUAAAGAGACAUGAGCCUAGAGGAGAGGCAGCUGUGCUAAGGUGAUAGUAAAACAGAUGACUGCUGACACAAAGGCUCAUACAGGGUGUUAGGGAGCCCAGAGAGCUAAUUUUGCUUGGCACAGGAGGACAGAGAAUAAAUAAGGUGGGGGGGGGGAGUUACAAAGGAGGAGACACUUGCAGUAAUUCAUCAGGUACACUGGGGAGGGGGCAUUGACAGAGGAUCUGGGGAUAGAGACCCAGAGAGGAGAGCCAGGAGUCCACAUCAAGAGAAGAGCUCAGGAAUGACAAAGUGAUUUAUCUGGGACUUAUUCUGGCAAACUGUUAAGUGGAAGACUGAACCCCAUGGACCAAGAACCUGAGGGGGUAGAUGUAAUGGGUGGAAUUCUAAGAUAAUCUCCACCCCCUGUAGAAUUCUUUCCCCAUGAGAGUGAAAAGGAUUUGUGAAGAUCUAAUUUCACACCUGUGACUAUGUUACUUUAUAUAGUAAAAGGGGUUUUGUAGGUAUAAUCAAGGUCCCUAAUCAGUUGACUUUGAGUUAAUUAAAAAGGGAGAUUAUCCUGGGCCUGAAAUAAGCAGGUGAAGUCUUUAAAAGGGUGCAGGCCUUCUCAGAAGUCAGAGUGAUUCCAAGCAGAAGAGAGGCUUUCCUAUUGGCCUUGAAGAAGCAAUCUGCCAUGCUGUCGAGAGAACCACAUGGCAGGGAACAACAUGUGGCCUCUAGGAGCUGCAAGUGAAUUAAACAAGCAGUGAGCUUGGAAGAGAAUUCUAAGCCUCAAGUAAGAUUCCAGCCCUGGCCAACACCUUGAUUCCAUCCUGGUGAGACCUUGAGCAGCUAUCCCAUACCUAUGCCAGACCGACAUGGGAUAAUAAAUUUAUGUUGUUUUAAGCCACCAAGUUUGUGGUAAUUUGUUAAGUAGCAAGAGAAAACUAGUUCAAUGGGUAAAGAGGGAGUAAAUGUUGAAGACAGAGGAGGAGGUAAGCUCUAGAGCCCUAUGAGAAUCUGGGGAGCAAACAUUCUGGUCAGGUCGUCAGUGAGAGAUGCUAAAGUAUAAAGUCAGGCAAAAAAAAAAAAAGCCCUACCUGCUUCCUAAGGAUCCCCGUGGUAGAAACUAAACUCCUGAGUCUUUCCUUCUCAAGAGGAAUGCCCAGGUGAGUGAUGUCAGCUGCAGCUCUGAGACUUCCCCUGCCCGACAAGAGACGGGUGGAAAGUAGAGAAUCCAGAGAUGAUGUUUAUACCCCGAUGAGACAUCAAAAAUGUGUUUCAUGCAAAGAUUCAACCCACUGGCAUUACUUUCAUGUAGAAAGAGAAGACUGAAGGCUUUUUUAACUGCAUGCUAGCAGGAAUGCAGCUGACAACACAGUGACCGAGAUCUGCUCCCAGGGGUUCUGGAUGAGCAGGGAGAUCCACAGAAUUCAAGGCCUUCAGAAGUUGAAUGGGCCACUCAUCAGGGAGGAGCUAUGAAAAGCCUUGAUGGAAUCUAGAAACUCAAAUUCUAGUCCUGGCUCCUUCAUCAACUCCAUGCCCAUAGGCAAAUCACCUAGCCUCUGGAGUUCGGUUUCCUCAUUGGUAAAAUGCAGUAAAGAGAAGGACUCAUAAUUUAUCUUCAUUCACAGCUCUGAGUUAUCCUUCUAUUAAUAAACAUGUCACCACAUUCCCACCAGAGGUGAAGAAGAAUUUGGCUGUUUCCAAUCUAAAUAUCAGGAUACCCAUAUCAUUACAAAUGAGAUGGAUGCUUAACCGACUGAGCCACACAGGUGCCCCAGGAUCCAGACCCACCUUGAAGUCAGAGGAUUCUUCCUUGGAUCCCUGCUUAGCCAACCCCAUGAGGAGGCUACAGUGGCCAGGGUGCUGUUGUGCUAUGUGGAAACACCCUAAGAUGUGGCCUGCAGAGCUGAACGCGACAGAUGGAUCCUUGUCCCCUCUGUAUUCUCUGCCCAACUACAGGAGGCUAAGUACUUUGCCAGGUUUUGCCCUGGGUCAUCACCGGUCCACCCCAUUCUUGUAUAACCUCCCUUCCUGUUGGCAAAACACUCUUCCUUGCCAAGCUCAGCCUAAGACUCUCACCCCACACCCUCUUCCUAAUCAGGCCAAAGAUAGAAUGUGUUUCCCUUAUUUUAACUAGAUUUAUUAGGCUUAGCCUAAGUCUAGCAGAUUUUAAUAGUUAUUAGUAAAACAUUCUUCCAUUUCCUUAUAAAUACUAUAAUCAAUGUUCCUAUUCUCAAAUGCACCACUUAAAGUAUCUAAAAUCAGAUAUGGAAGAGUAAUUUCAAUUUGUUCAUAACAAAGUUUUCUGAAGAUAUAAGCAGAUUUUGUCAGAUUCAGAGGCACAAUUCUUACAAACACGCUCAUGCAUUGUAGUGUGGGCAAACUAUCACCAGAGCUUGUCAUUACACCUUGUAGACAUUCUUAUCAUUGGUUCUUAUACAAUCCUUAUGAUCUUUUAUUGUCACCCAAAAGUGAUGGCCAGUUAAGUGGUUGGAUCCACAUGAUUACCAAAGGCUCACUGCUUCCUUGACUGCAACAUUCUCAUUAAAAUUAUGCCCUAGAUGUUUCAUAUAUGGCAACACAUUAUAUGGCCCCCCAGGAAGCAUAAGCGGUUGGUGGACAUGAAAGGACCUUGAAACCCUGUAUAACAUAGUACAUAUGCCAGCUGUCCUUUAACAUAGUAACAGAUGGUGGCCAAAGUCCAGCUGGGCUCCAAGCCCAGCUCUACCUCUUAAUAGUUGUGUGAUCUCUACUAGGUCAUUUACACACUCUGAACCUCAGGCUUUCCAUCUGUAAAAUACAAAUUAUAGUAAUACUUGCUCUAUCAUGAGGUUCAAAUGAGAUCAUGGACGGGAAAUCCCUCACAGGUCAUGAAGCAACUCUCAUACAUUAGCCAAUUUAUCACAUACAUUGACUUUUAAUCUUCACAACACUGGGAGAUGUCAUUUUCCCCUUCUGCAGAUGUAGAGAGUCAAGUAAGUAAGCAUGGUGGACCUGAGGUCCACACCUGGGUCUCCCUGUCUGAUGCUCUUUCCUCUUUGGGAGAAAGCAUACUCCAUGGCACCAUCCCUGCUCAUGGCUAUGUCAUACAAAGAGCACAUUUAGGUGUUGUCCUUAAACCUGGCAGCAAAUUAGUCCUCCAGAGCCACACAAAAGGGAGAGACCAAGGGAAGGCAGCCAAGACCCUGAGGCCUUUACUGUCCAUGAACCCUACUCCCAGCCCCAGCUGCUUGACUUUCCCCAACACAAGUGUGUUAGCCAAGUACCUGUGGAGCACCUGCUUCCACCUCAGCCCCAGAGAAAGCAUAUGGGAUUCAACUGGCACUGUCCUGAGAAGGCGUGUCAUCUGGCCAAGGCAGAAACUCAGAGACACAGUAAGCAACAGUUGAACAUAAAACAAUAUGUGUUCAGGUGUCAGGUGAGUAAUAAGGAAAGAGGGAGAUUCCUAGAUGCUCCACUUGGGAACACUAGAAAUUCUUGAAGCUCUCUGUGGCCCCAACAAACCCUAAAAAUACCUCAGUUUGGGGAGACAUGGAAUUUAUAUCAUCUCCCCUCUUUCCUCAACCCCACUCUUGAGGUUCCUUUCAGCUCUAUCCCUUCCUGUCCCCAAAACUGUCUCCCUCCCUGGCCUCUAGGCUCCACAAGGUCAAGAGAGCAGAUGUUUCCAUUGCCAUGUGCUGCAGACGCAUUCCAGAGUCAAUUCUCAAUGAACGUCUACUGAACUAAGCAGAUGUAGGCAGAGCACAUGGACAACAACAGGGACUCAAGGCCCAUGAAGGAGUAUGCAGACAGGCUGGACUCUAUCCUGGAAAGGGGGAGGCCUAGGCCCUCAUGGAGGAGCCAAAGGGAGAGAACCCCAUCAACACACUAUGAACUAAAUGGAGAGAAGUGCUAUUUAGAAAAAACCCUGAUGAAUAAAAUUCCUGAGAGCAGCAACUGUCAGGGAACAAAC